AAACAUGGAAGUGAUUGAACAAAAAGAAGUAAAACAAAGGAGAAAGUGAAACUAAAGCCAAAUAAAGGGAAAAACAAAAGGUGGAUUGCCGACAAUAAACGUCCCCAUUUCCAAAAUGGAAGUUUUUUAUUCAUGAUCCAUGCCUAUGGUUUGGAUUGGUGGAGAAGCCCAGUACCGGGCCCUAAAGCACCAUGGCCCAGCCCAACAUGAUCAUGCUAUUUUGUGAGGAAACUCUCUCAACAGAAGUGCCAAAAUUCAAUCAAUCACAAAUCCCAAUUUGUAACCAAAGAAAAAUAAUCAUAAAGACAAGCACCCAUCCUUCUAUUCAAGAUCACAAUGUACAUAUUUAUAUCUAUAACAAAAUUUUCAUCAAAAAAAAAAACCAUAGGCUCAUAAUCCUUGGCCAACUCUUUUAUGCUGAAAAGCAGUUGAAGACGAUGUUUUCACUUUGACCCAAAAGCUCUUUCUUCUCAACCCGGAACGUGGGCGACCGUACUUUCUUCUCAUUCUCCAUUCUCCUGUCGGAUUCCUGCACCAUCUCCGACCUGUUUCCGGUCCCAGCAGCUGCUUUUCUCUCCAUCCUUCUCCUCACGACAUACUCCUCAGGAAUAAAUACAUCCAUGGGGAUAAUUCCAAAAUCUGACAGAACAAUUUAUAAAGAUCUAGGUAGUAGAGAAGAAAGCUGAUGAGAAUAGGAGUGUAGAAGAGGUAGUGGGAGAAAGAAGUAAAAGCGGUAUUUAAAGGGGGAGUGGAGAUGGGAAUCUAUGGGCUUAUGCCCCCCAUGUUUUGGUUUAAACAAGCAACAGUUUCUACUUAUGAAGAGGCAUGCAGCAGACCUAGAUGCGGUCGGUUUUCAUAAAGCCCACU
rnacentral:lncRNA from 1 species